rnacentral:rRNA from 1 species
GGGGCAGCAUGGUGUAGCAAUACACUGAUGGCGACCGGCAAACGGGUGCGGAACACGUACAGAACCUUCCUUUAAGUGGGGAAUAGCCCAGAGAAAUUUGGAUUAAUACCCCGUAACAUUAUGAGAUGGCAUCAUUUUAUAAUUAUAGAUUUAUCGCUUAAAGAUGGCUGUGCGGCUGAUUAGGUAGUUGGCGGGGUAACGGCCCACCAAGCCUGCGAUCAGUAACUGGUGUGAGAGCACGACCAGUCACACGGGCACUGAGACACGGGCCCGACUCCUACGGGAGGCAGCAGUAAGGAAUAUUGGUCAAUGGACGCAAGUCUGAACCAGCCAUGCCGCGUGGAGGAUGAAGGUCCUCUGGAUUGUAAACUUCUUUUAUUUGGGAAGAAACCCAUGUUUUCUAAUGUGGUUGACGGUACCAGAUGAAUAAGCACCGGCUAACUCCGUGCCAGCAGCCGCGGUAAUACGGAGGGUGCAAGCGUUAUCCGGAUUCACUGGGUUUAAAGGGUGCGUAAGCGGGUUGGUAAGUCCGUGGUGAAAUCUCCGAGCU